rnacentral:rRNA from 1 species
ACUCCCUCGGGAGGCAGCAGUGGGGAAUAUUGCACAAUGGGCGCAAGCCUGAUGCAGCGACGCCGCGUGAGGGAUGACGGCCUUCGGGUUGUAAACCUCUUUCACCCAUGACGAAGCGCAAGUGACGGUAGUGGGAGAAGAAGCACCGGCCAACUACGUGCCAGCAGCCGCGGUAAUACGUAGGGUGCGAGCGUUGUCCGGAAUUACUGGGCGUAAAGAGCUCGUAGGCGGUUUGUCGCGUCGUCUGUGAAAUCCCGCAGCUCAACUGCGGGCUUGCAGGCGAUACGGGCAGACUCGAGUACUGCAGGGGAGACUGGAAUUCCUGGUGUAGCGGUGAAAUGCGCAGAUAUCAGGAGGAACACCGGUGGCGAAGGCGGGUCUCUGGGCAGUAACUGACGCUGAGGAGCGAAAGCGUGGGUAGCGAACAGGAUUAGAUACCCUGGUAGUCCACGCCGUAAACGGUGGGCGCUAGGUGUGGGUUUCCUUCCACGGGAUCCGUGCCGUAGCCAACGCA